UCUGCAAUUAACCAUGAUUCCGCGGGAAAAAAAAGAGUGAUUCGAUUAUAUCAGCUCAGCAGAAAUCCCACCAUACUUUAUUUUCUACUUUCCGUUCUCCGCCUCUCUUCGUAGGAUUGAUGAAAUAAUAAGAAGAACAAGGUUAUUUCUAGGUGAUAUUUAUGAAACCCUAACUUGAUUUCUUCGUUUUAUACUGGAUUCAGUGAUGAUUAUUGCAUUUGCAGUUGCAGCAACGGGUUUGUUCGAUUUUUUAUUCUUAGAUUCUUCGAUUUGGAUAAGAUUGAUUCAAUGGGUUUGUGUUAAAUUCUUAGAUUCUUCGAUUUUUAUGAAAAAACGGGAAUCGAAAUACACAGGAGAAAUUCAUGAGGAUUAAACAUGGAUUUAAUAUAAUUCGUUGUUGAAUUCGGUGUCACGGGAGUAAGUAUGAUAAUGGAAGAGGAGCAGUAGGAGGAGGAGGUUUAUGGGUUUGGUAAUUCCUUAAUUAAACCCCUGAUGUCUCUAGCAGCAGUGUUACCUAUAUACCCAGGUGAUGAGUAAGUGGUAAUUAUACAGAAUUGCAGUGCUACCUUAAAUUUUCCUCAGGUGUUCGGCUUUGUUCUCGGGCUCAUGCUUUCCAAUUCUGAUGCACGAUAUUCAAACUUCUUCCUUUGAGUAUCCAAUUCUUUGCGGUGAUAUCAUGUUCUAUAUUUUUCACUCUCAUAAAUAGAAAGCAAGCACAAGUUGUUAUGAGCACUCAUUAUGAAAGACCCUUUUGGAGUUAACAGAACACGCCGCUGAUUGUUGUAUUUUUAGAUACGCAGUUCUACAAUUAUAUGGACUCUUAUAAGUUUAAUUUAUAUUGAAAAAGGGCAGGAUCCUUUCUCAGACUUCAAACUUUGGCUCCGUAUCGGCUCUUGGUGCAAUGGUUGGAGCCAUCACGAGUGGGUCAAUUGCUGAUUUCAUUGGUCGAAAAAGGGUCAUUGACAUUUGGAUUCAUGGAUCAGUUGUGGGAAAUGUAAUUACGCAAUUGUAAAACCUCAACGAAAAAUGAAACAUGUAUUGUUUUUGUCUUAAUUCAUUGAUAAUGAAUUUCAUAGUGUAUAAGCCCUGGAAAAUGAUACCUUGGUACAUUCAAGGGAAAUUGUAUGAUUUAGUGUCUUUAUUAGAUAUUUAGAUUUUCUUCCAUAUGAACCGUUGCAGAAGUGUGUAAUAAUGUAAACCGACACUUUAAUUAUAAUUAUAAUUAUAACUCAAUCUUAAUAUUUUAUGG